UUUUAGACCCAAGUAAAUAAAACAGAGAUGCCCGCAAUUUCCUGCAAGUCUGAUUAAAAAUAGGAACUCUGCAAUCAUGAAAGUCGUCAUCUGGCAGCUGGAAGGCCAUACCUUAGGAAGCUGAAAUUGCUGGCAGCUGCAGAAAGCAGUGGGUGGCAGGUGUUCCCGCACGCCCUUUGGGGAGGAAAAGGGCUACAUUUCAGAGGCUUAUAUGCGCUAAUAUACAAAUGGCUUCUAAAUAAUAAAAGUUACAGGAAUUCCAUAUUCCAAUACUGCAAAGUGUACAAUUAUCUGUAUGACACCGAAAAAGAAGCAGUACAGCUUAGUGGGAAGAGCACGGACUUGGACGUAGUGACUUCUCAGCCAGUAUAGACAAAGAGUUGACCCUGGAUGACUCUAGUGAGUCCCGAAUCAAAUGGCUUGGCUUUUAUCAAACCCCCUCUGGGAGAAAUGACUCCAGUAUUGAUGGGGACAUCCCAACCCAGGCUUCACCCUGAUCUGCAUAUGGCCUGGGCUUCAGCUGUGAGAGUUGUGGUGGGACGCCAUCAUGCUCUAACUCUGAAGUUCUUAGAAGAUGCUCAGGCUUUUGCUAUAGAAAAACAAAGGAAGAAUGGGUACAGUGAGCCAGACUCUGGUUUGUGCUGUGAAUCCUGUUGAUGAAUCUGCAUGGAGAAAGUCAAAGUGAACCAUAUUGCUCAUUAGCAAGUCAGAAUGCCUGACUCAUGCUGAGCACAGGAGGACAACUGAGGAAUGAGACCCUGGCUGAAGGGCCCAUCAUGGUGUCAUCUUUUCCUUUGUUGGAGGCCUGAUGGUAUCAACUCUCUCUCCAUGCUCGCCCACCAUGUGUGUGGUGUCUGUCAAUGCAGGUAUCACAGAUCACUGAUGAAGAGGUGUGUGUGUGGAGGCAGAAGUCUAGAGAGAUCAUCUGAGCCAAUUAGGGAGGAGUAUUUCCCCUGGAAUGAUCCUUCAACAUCCAUGUGAAUUUUUGGCGAAGUCUCCUUGGUCAUGCUGAAGACUUCCCAUGCUGAAGACAUGACUUUGGGGCAGUUUGCAGGACUACCUGGCAUGUACCACAUGUGUUGGGUUUUCUUCAUUCCCCAUUUUGUUUUGCUUUGCUUUCCAAUAUCAAAGCACUCUAAGCUACUAGACAUAGCUUCUAUCCAAUGACUUCAGAUGAACAAUUUCCAGAUGUGCUAUUUGUAGUCUGGCCAAAAUUUAAUAGUUGUAGAGCAAAGAUACAAAGGUCCCCAGUCCCUAGAGGCACUAUAGCAUCACAGUGUAGACUGCAAGCCCGGGAGCCAGACUGCCUGGGAUUGAAUCCUGGCUCUACCACUUGGAGUUGGAAGCAGAGUUUAGACAAGUAAGCACUAUGGCAGGGACAGAAAAAGGAGGAGGACCACAUACUGGAGAGAGAGCCAGGGAAAAUGGACAUCUUGGCUGCAGGAUGUUUGAGGUGGUUUGCCUUGGUGGGGACCGGGGACAUAAAGUGAAAACAUUCCCAUCUAUUUAGCACGUGCAAUCUUCAGUGAAACCUGACCUUCAGAUAACAAAAUGUGCUGUGUGCCUGUGGAAAAGGACCAAGGGCUCGAGGUCUACUAAGAUGUGCCUAAGCGUACACAGAUAAGAGGACUGCCACACAGUUGGGCCGUGCAUGGAAGAAGCAAUGGGUUUAAAAGGAUGAAUGGAUAAAGAAGAUAUGGUAUACAUACACAAUGGAAUACUACUCAGCCAUACAAAAGAUGAAAUCUUGCCAUUUGCAACAACAGGAUGGACCUCGAGGGUAUUAUGCUAAGCGAAACAAGUCAGAUGGAGAAAGUCAAACACCAUAUGACCUCACUCAUAAGUAGAAGAUAAAAACAAUGACAAACAAACAUAUAGAAACAGAGAUUAGAUUGGUGGUUACUGGAGGGGAAGAAAGGAGGGAAGAGGGAGAAAGGGGUGAGAGGGCACAUGUGUACAGUGAUGGAUGGUAAUUAGUCUUUGGGUGGUGAACAUGAUGUAGUCUACACAGAAAUCAAAAUAUA
ensembl:lncRNA